AUACAGGGGGUGCGAGCGUUAAUCGGAAUUACUGGGCGUAAAGAGUACGUAGGCGGUUGCUUAAGUCAGAUGUGAAAGCCCCGGGCUCAACCUGGGAACUGCAUUUGAAACUGAGUGACUAGAGUUUAAGAGAGGGGAGUAGAAUUCCGGGUGUAGCGGUGAAAUGCGUAGAGAUCCGGAGGAAUACCAGUGGAGAAGGCGGCUCCCUGGCUUAAAACUGACGCUGAGGUACGAAAGCGUGGGUAGCAAACAGGAUUAGAAACCCGAGUAGUCC
rnacentral:rRNA from 1 species